rnacentral:rRNA from 1 species
UAGGGAAUCUUCCACAAUGGACGAAAGUCUGAUGGAGCAACGCCGCGUGAGUGAAGAAGGGUUUCGGCUCGUAAAGCUCUAUUGGUAGUGAAGAAAGAUAGAGGUAGUAACUGGCCUUUAUUUGACGGUAAUUACUUAGAAAGUCACGGCUAACUACGUGCC